rnacentral:rRNA from 1 species
GACGAACGCUGGCGGCGUGCUUAACACAUGCAAGUCGAACGGAAAGGCCCUGCCGUUGUCGGGCGCUCGAGUGACGAACGGGUGAUUAACACGUGAGUAACCUGCGCUUGACUAUGAGAUAACGACAGCUAACCUGGUAUCAUACCGGAUAGGAGCUUCUGAGCCAUGGUGGGGGCUGGAAAGUUUCGGCGGGUGCGGAUGGACCCGCGGAUUAUCAGCUUGCUGGUGGGGUAGUGGCUUACCAAGGCAUUGACGGAUAGCCGGCCUGUGAGGGGGACCGGCGACAUUGGGACUGAGAGACGGCGCAGAGUGCAACGGUAGGCAGCAGUGGGGAGUAUUGCACAGUGGGGGGGAGCGUGAUGCAGCAACGCCGCGUGCGGGAUGAGGGCCUUGGAGUUGUGAACCGGUGUCGGCUGUGACGGAGCGUGAGUGACGGUAAUGGGUGAAGAAGCACCGGCUAACUACGUG